rnacentral:misc_RNA from 1 species
GGACUUCCACUGGCAAUCAAGACAGUAGCAGCAUUACUGGCACCAAAAACCAAUUCACUCGUCCAAUGGAAUGAAAUUAAUAAAAAUUUUCAUGAAUUGAUAGUGGAAGGAAAAAUUAGUUCAGUGAUGGCGUCUUUGCAACUGAGCUAUGAUGAACUUCCAACCCAUCUAAAGCAAUGUCUUUUGUGUUUCUCCAUCUAUCCUGAAGACUUUGAGAUGCAUGCUGAACAAUUAGUCCAUUGGUGGGUUGGAGAGGGACUUAUCCAGGGUAAGGGCUCAAAAACAGCAAAAGAAAUGGGAUUUGAGUACCUAUCUGAUUUGGUAGCCAGAUGUUUGGUUGAAGCUGUACAUAGGCGAGACUAUGAUGGAAGAGUCUACUGUUGCAGGAUGCAUGAUAUGGUGCGGGAAUUGACUAUUAAGAUUGUAGAGGAGGAAUCAUUUGGCAAAUUUGAUGAGCAAAGCAGGCAGAUACCGAUUGCAAAUUCUCGCUGGUUGGGUAUCACUAGCAAAAUGCACUCAAAAUCUUUAAGGAACAGCACAAAGCUCAGGGCAUUAUUAUUAAUGCCAAGCAGUGAAGUUGUCCUCGAUAGGCGCAUUGGGUGGUUUAGUUCCCUCAGGGUGUUGGAUUUCUCACUUGGUAAGCUGGAUAAUAUUUCUGUAGAGGAUUUCUUGGUUUGGAUUUGCUCUCUUAAACGCCUCGCGUAUCUAAAUCUUAGUGGUGUCUCAGGCAUUAAAGAAUUGCCAUCCUCAAUUAGAAAGCUACGAAACCUGCAGCUUUUGAUUUUAUGUGGAUGCAGUAAUCUAGUCAGAUUAAAUCCAUAUAUUACUACAUUGAAGAAGCUGGUGGUGUUGGAUUUAGGAUCUUGUGGUCUCGAGUAUCUACCCAAAGGACUAGGGAGGUUAUUCUAUCUGCAAGAACUGUCUGGAUUCAAGGUUAGCAAUCAGGCUAACAAGCAAAGCUGUCGACUUCAUGAGCUUCGGGUACUGAGCCACCUGAGGGUCCUGCGAAUGAACAUAGGCAGUGAUUCUGUAAUUCUAGAAGAUGAUAAAAGUGUCUUAUUGCAGCUCAGUAAACUUAAGGUUCUGGCCAUUGAUGCUGAAGAUUGUGAAGAUGGAAAUAUUUUAGAAAGGCUUAAUGCUCUUACACCUCCACCAAGUCUUCAGGAAUUCUAUCUCAGGCGUUAUCGACAUAAAACUCUCCCUACCUGGAUUAAUCCUGAGCAGCUUUCUAGUUUGCAGUAUCUUUGUAUUGAGAAUGGAGACCUCACCCACAUCGAAACCCGUCCUCAGCAUGUUGCUGAUAGUCUAUAUACUUGGAACAUUGAGGGUCUAUGUUUCAAGGUGUUGCCAAGCUUAAAGGUGGACUGGAAGAACUUGGAGCAGGAUAUGCCUUUAUUACGUUAUGCAGAGGUGAGUGGUUGCUUCAAUUUGCAAAAUUUUCCAUGUUCUGAUGACAAGUUGGUGGUCUGGAGGAAGAAUGAAGAUUGAAGAGCUAAUCAAACUUAUGGUUGACUUUUUGUAUCUCUGCUGUUGCAACCUUACUGCUCUGUUCUUGUGUGUUUCUCAUUAGAUAGGGCUACAGAGUGUUGAUCUUCUCUUUGAUUUUUUUUUUUUUUACCUCCACUCUUCUACUUUCACUGGUUUUUUCACUUAGGAUCUGCCGCGUAGGUUGACUGUAAGGGGGAAGGCCAGUGGUUGGGUUUCAGUGUGUGACAUUUGCUAAAUUUUCCUUCCUUUUAAUCUUAAUUUUAAUAAAAUUUUGGCUCAAAAAAAAAAAAAAAA